rnacentral:rRNA from 1 species
CGCAAAUCUCAUCCUGCUCACUCCACUCCAACUCACCCGACAGAGAGAGGGGAACAGAAAGCCCUAAAUCUUCCCCGCUCUUCCCCUCCGUCUCUCCCCCCUGCCGCGGCGGCGCGGCUGUGCGAUUCCUUGCGGCCGCGGCUCACGGGACCAGCGGCCAGGGGAUCAGUGACGGCAAGGCUCGGCUCUAUCCUCUCCUCUCCCUCCUAAUCAAGCUUUCUCUGAAGUAUGGCUUGUGGACAAGUGUAGAACUGUAGACAAAGACACAAAGGAAUUGCUGGCAUAAGUCUUCAUUUGAGAAAGAUCAGUUGGCAGCUUACAAUGGCUGGAAAUCAGCAGCCGGCUUCAGUUGUGUUGGAUUAUGCAGCAGUCCUCGACGCCAAACCCUUGCGCACACUGACUCCCAUGUUCCCUGCACCGCUUGGGAUGCACACUUUCACCCCUAAAAGCUCAUCUUCAGUUGUCUGUGUCACCCCAUUUGGACCAUAUGCUGGAGGUACCGAACUGGUAAUGCCUGGUGGUGUUCCGCCAAUGUUAACAUCACUGUCUGCUCCUGCAGAUCCCAACCAGGUGCAGCCAUAUACGGCUCAUAUGAAUGGAACUUCUAAUGCUAAUGGUACUACAAACAACACAAUGGUUACCCCUGUGUUGCAAACUCCUCCAGCAGUCACUACACAGGAAUCUGGUAAGAAGAAGAGGGGGAGGCCCAGGCGUGUUCAAGAUACCACUACUGUUCCUUCAGUUCCUCCAGUUCAACCGGUUCCUACGGUUCCUUCAGUUCCUCCAGCUCCUUCAGCUCCUCCAGAAGUUAAUAAUAUUGUUCUCCAGACACCUCCUGCAGCCGUCACACAGGAAUCUGGCAAGAGGAAAAGGGGACGACCCAAGCGUGUGCCAGAUGUUUCUGUCUUACCAACUCCAGUGCCUGUAGCAGAUGGUACACCUAUUUUACAGACACCUCCCGCAUCUAGUGUACAUGAAUCUGUUACAAAGAAAAGGGGGCGGCGACCCAAGCUUGUGCAGGAUAGUUCAGAUACUUCAACUCCUCCAGUUCAUUCAAAAGAGAGUUCAGUGACUCCUUCUGCAGUCACCUUAUUGGAGGGUGGUAAGAGGAAGAGAGGGCGGCCGAAGCGUGUGCCUGAUAGUUCAGUGACUCCUUCAAGUCAUUCUGGCCUUUCAGUAGAUGUUGACAGUGGUGACACAUCAAAACGUGGCCGGCCUAAAAAAAUUGACACAAGCCUGUUGCACCUCCCGUCUUUGUUUUCAGACGAUCCCAGGGAGUCUGCAGAUAAUGUGCUUAUGAUGUUUGAUGCACUGCGACGACGGCUCAUGCAGUUGGAUGAGGUGAAGCAAGUAGCAAAGCAGCAGCAAAACUUGAAGGCUGGGAGUAUCAUGAUGAACGCUGAACUUCGCCUCAAUAAGAACAAGAGGAUUGGAGAGGUUCCAGGUGUCGAGGUCGGUGACAUGUUCUACUUCAGAAUCGAGAUGUGCCUGGUAGGGUUAAAUAGUCAGAGCAUGGCAGGGAUAGAUUAUAUGUCUGCUAAGUUUGGUAACGAGGAGGACCCCGUGGCCAUUAGUAUUGUGUCAGCUGGUGUGUAUGAGGAUGCCGAAGAUGAUGAUCCAGAUGUUCUGGUUUACAGUGGACAUGGCAUGUCUGGUAAGGAUGACCAAAAGCUUGAGAGAGGUAAUCUUGCACUGGAGAGGAGUUUGCAUAGGGGUAAUCCCAUUAGAGUCGUUCGCACUGUGAAAGACUUGACUUGUUCAACUGGUAAGAUAUACAUAUAUGAUGGCCUUUACCAGAUUAGAGAAGCCUGGGUGGAGAAAGGGAAAUCUGGUUUCAAUAUGUUUAAACACAAGUUGCUCAGAGAACCUGGACAACCUGAUGGCAUUGCAGUGUGGAAGAAGACUGAAAAAUGGAGGGAAAAUCCAUCCUCUAGAGAUCGUGUUAUAUUGCACGACAUAUCAUACGGUGUGGAAAGUAAGCCUAUCUGCCUUGUAAAUGAGGUUGACGAUGAGAAAGGUCCUAGCCACUUCACCUAUACAACUAAACUUAACUACAUGAAUUCCCCAAGCUCAAUGAGAAAGAUGCAAGGCUGCAAAUGCACAAGCGUAUGCCUACCCGGUGAUAACAACUGUUCUUGUACGCAUCGAAAUGCUGGUGACCUUCCUUACAGUGCUUCAGGCAUACUUGUUAGUCGGAUGCCUAUGUUCUACGAGUGCAAUGAUUCAUGCACUUGUUUACAUAAUUGCCGGAACCGGGUUGUACAAAAAGGUAUCCAGAUCCACUUUGAAGUGUUUAAGACGGGAGAUCGAGGUUGGGGCCUGCGUAGUUGGGAUCCAAUCCGAGCAGGCACAUUUAUCUGUGAAUAUGCAGGUGUAAUUGUUGACAAGAAUGCUCUUGAUGCAGAAGAUGAUUAUAUCUUUGAGACCCCUCCUUCGGAGCAGAACUUAAGAUGGAACUAUGCACCAGAAUUACUUGGUGAACCUAGUCUUUCUGACUUCAAUGAAUCAUCUAAGCAGUUGCCAAUAAUUAUUAGUGCAAAACAUACUGGUAACAUAGCCCGCUUCAUGAACCACAGCUGCUCACCUAAUGUUUUUUGGCAACCAGUUCUGUAUGACCAUGGUGAUGAGGGAUAUCCACACAUCGCCUUCUUUGCAAUUAAGCAUAUUCCUCCAAUGACAGAGCUUACAUAUGAUUAUGGUCAGAGCCAAGGUAAUUCUGGGUGUCGGAGGACUAAAAGCUGCUUAUGUUGGUCUCGUAAGUGCAGGGGUUCCUUUGGCUAAAUAAUCAACCUUUAAGGGAUAAUUUGCCAGUUGAAGAAGCAGCUGAUGGUUGCGGCAUUAUGAGUGAGGUGUUCCAGCCACAACUGGAAGAACUUGCUGCCCCUCUAUCCGGGGUUUGAAUGCGCAGCAGAGUACAAAGGACUAGAUGUUGUAAUAAAAGGCCAUCCAUGUUUCUAUGAUGUUGUUAGCUGUAGUUGUGUGCUCCGGGGUUUUAAAACCAACCAGUGGAAUUUUAUGUAUUGUCAUUGCAAAGAUGUUUCCAGCCGCAGUGAAUCUAUCGUUUCUGAUUUGUAAUCCUAGCGGAUUAAUGCAUCCUGUGAUUGCCGUGGAGAGCAAAUGAAGGC